rnacentral:lncRNA from 1 species
GGGAGCAAAAGCCCCGGUCUCUCCUGCUUCUGCCCCUUCUCACACAUUCCCAUUUUCCCUUCCAGCCUUCUGAGCAUCAUGUUUAUCAUGGCUCAGUUGACCUAUGCAAUGGCAGAGGAUGGGCUCCUUUUCCGGGGACUUGCCUGGAUCCCUGCCCCCACCGAUGCCCUCACUGAUGCCCCCACCGAUGCCCGCAUCAUUGUCCACACCGUUGCCCCCACAGGAACCCCCAUCAUGGCCAUCUUGGUUCCUGGAACUCUUGCAGGUGAAUAGACAAAACUCACCCUUUUAAAAUCAUACGUCUUAACUUGCAUAUUUCCAGUGGUUUCUCAUUCUUAUCCCACUGUCCUUGCUCCCUCAUCCCAGCGGUCAUGGCGUUACUCUUCGACUUCACUGACCUGGUGGACCUCAUGUCGUUUCAGUCCCUGCUCGCUUACUCCCUGGUGACAUUUUCUGUCCUUGUCCUCAGGUGUCAACCAGCCCAGAAUGGAAGCCAGGAGAAAACAGAGGAGGAAACUGAGACAAACCCUGAAGUUGAAGGAGGUCCCUUGGAAUCUGAACCUGAAGCAGGAAUCUCAGGCAUUCUAAAGAGUCUGUGGUUCUCUCCCAGCACCAUCCCCACCUGGAAAUCUGGCCAGAUUGUCUAUGGAUGUGCCUCCCUGCUUGUGCUUCUGCUGAUAAUCCUGAGCCUGAUCCUGUACCGGUGGUCCAGCCAGGUGUUCUCUGGAGACCCUGUGCUCACAACAGUGGCUGUGCUGCUGCUGCUGCUCAUCACUGGGGUCACGGUCAUCAUCUGGAGGCAGCCCCAGAACCCCAGGACUCUUCCAUUCAGGGUAGGUGACCUCAUGUGCCCAAAGUGUCCACCUCAAGUGAAGGAGGUCUGCGUGCUUUAGGUCUAAACAUCAUUUGUUGGACAGGCAACGAGGGGAUUUGCUGAAACCAAUGAACUCUGCCCUGAUCCACAC